CUAGCUGUUACAAGUUAACAAAAUUUUAAAGUUGAUAUGUCAUCACUUAAUUUAUUGAAAAACAAAGCAUUUUUAUCUAUAUUGUAAUUAUUUAAUUUAUUAAUUAAAUAAUCAAUUAAAUUACAUUAAAUACAUAAAUUAUUAUACUAAACAUGAAGAAAAAUAAGAAAAACAUACAAAUAUUAUAAAAUAAUAAGUAUUUAACAAUUCAUUGUUUUUAUUCUGUUUAUGAUAUUGUAUAUACAUAUAAUUGAGGAUAAUUUUCUAUGGGUUUGGGUCAGCUUAUGUUCUGGGCCAUUCAACUGUUCUGUAAAAACCUUUGACUUCUGACCUCCAAACCAAAAAUGAGACAUUUACAUCGGUACAACAUAAUCACUGCUGAACUAUUGUUCAGUGGUCUACGUCAUGAUUUGCAUUUGUCUCUUUCUAAAAGUUUUUGUAGUUGCAACAUGUUAAAAUAACCCUCUAUGCCAGUUUUUUUCUCUUCUUUUUAGAUACAGGUCCUUCUCAAAAAAAAUAGCAUAUUGUGAUAAAAGUUCAUUAUUUUCCAUAAUGUAAUGAUAAAAAUUAAACUUUCAUAUAUUUUAGAUUCAUUGGACACCAACUGAAAUAUUUCAGGUCUUUUAUUGUUUUAAUACUGAUGAUUUUGGCAUACAGCUCAUGAAAACCCAAAAUUCCUAUCUCAAAAAAUUAGCAUAUUUCAUCCGACCAAUAAAAGAAAAGUGUUUUUAAUACAAAAAAAGUCAACCUUCAAAUAAUUAUGUUCAGUUAUGCACUCAAUACUUGGUCAGGAAUCCUUUUGCAGAAAUGACUGCUUCCGGUCACCUCUUCUCGUUGUGCAGCGUUUUUUGCCACACUUUUUCCUUCCCACAGACUUCCCAUUGAGGUGCCUUGAUACAGCACUCUGGGAACAGCCUAUUCGUUCAGAAAUUUCUUUCUGUGUCUUACCCUCUCGCUUGAGGGUGUCAAUGAUGGCCUUCUGGACAGCAGUCAGGUCGGCAGUCUUACCCAUGAUUGCGGUUUUGAGUAAUGAACCAGGCUGGGAGUUUUUAAAAGCCUCAGGAAUCUUUUGCAGGUGUUUAGGUUAAUAGCUCGUUUAGAGAACCUUUUCAUGAUAUGCUAAUUUUUUGAGAUAUGAAUUUUGGGUUUUCAUGAGCUGUAUGCCAAAAUCAUCAGUAUUAAAACAAUAAAAGACCUGAAAUAUUUCAGUUGGUGUGCAAUGAAUCUAAAAUAUAUGAAAGUUAAAUUUUUAUCAUUACAUUAUGGAAAAUAAUGAACUUUUAUCACAAUAUGCUAAUUUUUUGAGAAGGACCUGUAGUUGGU
ensembl:lncRNA